AAGUCAAAGUAAAAACUACGUCGUUUACGCCACGCUUCUCGAAGGUGGAGUUCUCCAACCGACGACGUUUUGUGUAGUUUCAUAACUUUCAUUUCCUACGAACCCUGAGGCGAGGGAUCCUCUUGGUGCCAUCAUCAGAUGUGUUGGGCUCUACGAUGUCGCUCUCUCAAUAUCCCGAAAUCGUCGGCGUGAUGUGCCACUGUUGCGAGAACUAACGAAUGGCUAAUGAAUUUGCAAGAUGUGGAGAUGGUUUUGAGUGAUGUGAGAGCAGACGACGUUAAGGUGAUAUCGGUCGGAAAACAUUGUGAUUCGACGGAUUUCUUGGUGGUUGUCACUGUUAGGUCCACGUGGCACGUCAAGAACAUCGCUUAACCUCCUAUUUACUAGGUAGAAAUUAAUUUUUAGGAAGAGUAGCACUUACUGGCAAUGUGUGUGUGUGUGUGUGUGUGUGUUCCACAACACUGCUCAUUUGUUUAUUUAUGUCUGGAAGUUGUGGCAUGGUGGUAUUUUUACUGGCAUGGACAGGCUAAGCAAAAGCAGAAAGAGAUAUGAGCUCAGAGAGGCUACACAGUGUGCGAGGGCAAGAGACGGGAAAUGAGUUGUCAUUCACUCUGGAAAAGUGAUUGUUCAUGCACUUGAUGAGAAGGCCAGAGCUUAUUACGAUUUGGAAAAUAUUUGGACCAUGGAGACAUCUAAGGCAGAACCUGUUCAGUUAAGUAGAGAUUUACCAUGGAGCAUUUCCAUUUAUAGUUUUUAGUUUGCGUUAGGACCAAGCAUGGUGGCACAGCAACACAAAAGCAAGACUACGAAAAUGAAGCAGGACCACUUGGGAAAAGGUAAACACAUGGCAAAUAUAAUCAUGGGUGGUUAGAGGAAAGGAGAUGGGAAGGCUGAGAGAAGGCAGAGAGUAUAUUUUUCUGGAAAAGUUCUGGGCAGCUCCGGCUGAGUUCGGGAGAGUUCUUAGCCUCUUGAAAGCUAGGAAAUUCUGAGAGAUGGUUCAGCCUCUCGAAUAGCUAAAAGUGUGAAUGUUAUAGUUGUUUUAUUUGUGUAUAGGCAUGAUGAUUGUCAUUCUUGUAAACACAGCUAAUAUUUGACAAAUAUUGCAAUUUUUAUCUCUA